GCCUCCCUCUGGCGGCGUGCUUAACACAUGCAAGUCGAACGGUAAGGCUCCAGCUUGCUGGGGUACACGAGUGGCGAACGGGUGAGUAACACGUGGGUGACCUGCCCUGCACUUCGGGAUAAGCCUGGGAAACUGGGUCUAAUACCGGAUAGGACCGCACCGUGAGGGUGUGGUGGAAAGUUUUUUCGGUGUGGGAUGGGCCCGCGGCCUAUCAGCUUGUUGGUGGGGUAAUGGCCUACCAAGGCGGCGACGGGUAGCCGGCCUGAGAGGGUGGACGGCCACAUUGGGACUGAGACACGGCCCAGACUCCUACGGGAGGCAGCAGUGGGGAAUAUUGCACAAUGGGCGGAAGCCUGAUGCAGCGACGCCGCGUGGGGGAUGACGGCCUUCGGGUUGUAAACUCCUUUCACCAUCGACGAAGGGUUUCUGACGGUAGAUGGAGAAGAAGCACCGGCUAACUACGUG
rnacentral:rRNA from 1 species